UGAAGGGAGCACCAUCCACCUCAGAACUUCUUCAAAAUCAAUAGGAGAACGCAAAUGAAUCCGAGAUGUGAAAUAACACCAUACUUCGUUGCUGUAAGGGCAAUCAAAGAAUAGGUGCUGCCUGGUUUCAUCCCCCCCAUUACAAAGAACACACACUGCAGGGACAUGUAAACCCCAACUGAGAAGCCUGUCCCUCGUACCUAAUCUGUCUCUGGCUGCCACCCACGUCAGAAAGGCGUGCUUAAGAACUCGACCAGAGAACCACACCAUCUUGUGCCAUAACACCUGCGGAUCCGGAGGAUGAAGUACCGACCAUGUCUCUGAAGUCGAGAAAGUCUCAUUACUCAAAUCACCAUUCGGUUUCCACACAUAAAUAUCAUCUUCAACUGAAUUUAGAAUUAGAUUCGGGUCUGGAAGACAACGCUUAAUCUCAUGAAUCACUAGACUUCUACUUCUGCUUCUAUCCAACCACCAGCCCUCU
rnacentral:lncRNA from 1 species